UACGUAGGCAGCGAGCGUUGUUCGGAUGUACUGGGCGUAAAGCGUGCGUAGGCGGCUUUGUAAGUUAGAGGUGAAAGCCCGGAGCUCAACUCCGGAACUGCCUUUAAGACUGCAUCGCUAGAAUUGUGGAGAGGUGAGUGGAAUUCCGAGUGUAGAGGUGAAAUUCGUAGAUAUUCGGAAGAACACCAGUGGCGAAGGCGACUCACUGGACACAUAUUGACGCUGAGGUGCGAAAGCGUGGGGAGCAAACAGG
rnacentral:rRNA from 1 species